GCGAGAAAACUUUGCAAUGUGCGAAAGCACGACAAGGUUAAUCCGAGUGGUUUCUGCUAAAGAAACCUUUUGUCAGUCCUAGAAACACUAACGAAUAAGGGGUGGGCAAGUUCUGGUGUCAGCCGCCGCGGUAAAACCAGCACCUCAAGUGGUCAGGAUGAUUAUUGGGCCUAAAGCAUCCGUAGCUCGUUUUGUAAGUUUUCGGUUAAAUCCAUACGCUUAACGUAUGGGCUGCCGGGAAUACUGCAUAACUAGGAAGUGGGAGAGGUAGACGGUACUCGGUAGGAAGGGGUAAAAUCCUUUGAUCUAUUGAUGACCACCUGUGGCGAAGGCGGUCUACCAGAACACGUUCGACGGUGAGGGAUGAAAGCUGGGGGAGCAAACCGGAUUAGAUACCCAUGUAGUCCCUGAGCGGGCUGGCAAGGCGCAU
rnacentral:rRNA from 1 species